rnacentral:rRNA from 1 species
UACGUAGGGGGCAAGCGUUGUUCGGAAUUACUGGGCGUAAAGGGCGCGUAGGCGGCACAGCAAGUCGGGAGUGAAAGCCUGGGGCUCAACCCCGGAAUGGCUUUCGAAACUGCUGAGCUAGAGUACAGAAGGGGCAACCGGAAUUCCCAGUGUAGCGGUGAAAUGCGUAGAUAUUGGGAAGAACACCUGAGGCGAAGGCGGGUUGCUGGGCUGAUACUGACGCUGAGGCGCGAAAGCCAGGGGAGCAAACGGG